CUUCUGUACGUUGGAUGGACACUCACGCGUAGCGAGCAAGAUGCAGUACAAGGCUCUGAAAAGUGAACGUCCAGUGAAGUGACUUGGAUAUCCCCGUCAUAGGUGACGGUAUCUCAGCUGCAGCCAAUCGCCUGAGAAGAAACCACUCAACACAUCGCUAAAACGAG